rnacentral:rRNA from 1 species
UGAGACACGGUCCAAACUCCUACGGGAGGCAGCAGUGGGGAAUAUUGCACAAUGGGCGAAAGCCUGAUGCAGCAACGCCGCGUGAAGGAAGAAGGCCUUCGGGUCGUAAACUUCUGUCCUUGGGGAAGAAGAACUGACGGUACCCAAGGAGGAAGCCCCGGCUAACUACGUGCCAGCAGCCGCGGUAAUACGUAGGGGGCAAGCGUUAUCCGGAAUUAUUGGGCGUAAAGAGUACGUAGGUGGCAACCUAAGCGCAGGGUUUAAGGCAAUGGCUCAACCAUUGUUCGCCCUGCGAACUGGGAUGCUUGAGUGCAGGAGAGGAAAGCGGAAUUCCUAGUGUAGCGGUGAAAUGCGUAGAUAUUAGGAGGAACACCAGUGGCGAAGGCGGCUUUCUGGACUGUAACUGACACUGAGGUACGAAAGCGUGGGGAGCAAACAGGAUUAGAUACCCUGGUAGUCCACGCCGUAAACGAUGAGCACUAGGUGUCGGGGUCGCAAGACUUCGGUGCCGUAGUUAACGCAUUAAGUGCUCCGCCUGGGGAGUACGCACGCAAGUGUGAAACUCAAAGGAAUUGACGGGGACCCGCACAAGCAGCGGAGCAUGUGGUUUAAUUCGAAGCAACGCGAAGAACCUUACCAGGACUUGACAUCCCUCUGACAGACCCUUAAUCGGGUUUUUCUACGGACAGAGGAGACAGGUGGUGCAUGGUUGUCGUCAGCUCGUGUCGUGAGAUGUUGGGUUAAGUCCCGCAACGAGCGCAACCCUUGCCAUUAGUUGCCAGCAGUAAGAUGGGCACUCUAGUGGGACUGCCGGGGACAACUCGGAGGAAGGUGGGGAUGACGUCAAAUCAUCAUGCCCCUUAUGUUCUGGGCUACACACGUGCUACAAUGGCCGGUACAGAAAGCAGCGAAGUCGUGAGGCGGAGCAAAUCUCGAAAACCGGUCCCAGUUCGGACUGCAGGCUGCAACUCGCCUGCACGAAGCCGGAGUUGCUAGUAAUCGCGGAUCAGAAUGCCGCGGUGAAUGCGUUCCCGGGUCUUGUACACACCGCCCGUCACACCAUGGAAGUUGGGGGUGCCCAAAGCCGGCAAGGAAAUAUGCUGUCUAAGGCAAAACCAAUGACUGGGGUGAAGUCGUAACAAGGUAGCCGUAUCGGAAGGUGCGGCUGGAUCA